UACGGGGGGGGCGAGCGUUGUUCGGAAUCACUGGGCGUAAAGGGCGCGUAGGCGGCCCGCACAAGUCUGCGGUGAAAACCUCCGGCUUAACCGGGGGCCGGCCGUGGAAACUGUCGGGCUGGAGGCUGGGAGAGGGCAGCGGAAUUCCCGGUGUAGCGGUGAAAUGCGUAGAGAUCGGGAGGAACACCGGCGGCGAAGGCGGCUGCCUGGACCAGUCCUGACGCUGAGGCGCGAAAGCGUGGGGAGCGAACAGG
rnacentral:rRNA from 1 species